GCCCCCAUCGUCUAGUGGACUAGGACGCAGCCCUUUCAAGGCUACGACCGGGGUUCGGAAUCCCCGUGGGGCACCUUUGAGAGAAUCGCCGUAAGGCGAUUUUUAUUUUCACGACCGCGGCCCCCAUUGAAGGGAUGCCAUUCGAAUCCCCGUGGGGGCA
rnacentral:tRNA from 1 species